rnacentral:tRNA from 1 species
GCGCCCGUAGCUCAGCCGGAUAGAGCAACGGAUUUCUAAUCCGUGGGGCGGGUGUUCGAGUCACCCCGGGCGCGCGA